UCGGAAGAAAGCCCCUGUGUUACUAGGCCCGGCUCUCGGGAUGGUGUUUUUGGCGCAGUAGGAGUUCCCCCGCUUGAGGACCUCGCAGCUGGGGAUCUUCCUGACCCAGGGAUUGAACCUGCGUCUCCUGAAUUGCAGGCAGUCUCCUGCAAUGCAAGUGGAUUCUUUACCACUGAGCCACCAGACUAUGAGCUCCUUGGAAGUGCCACGACUUCAGACCUUCUUGGAUUCCUAUAAGCAAAGUGCCAUAGUAGAUCCUCAAUGAAUGUUGGGUGAAUUCACAUGUGAAUGAACAG